UGGUAGAGCUCCAACCAUCUCAUGUAUUAAGUAUUUUCUCGUUUGACUUUUGCUAACCUGCCUUUGUCUUCUUGUACGCCAGAUCGAGACUACCUGGAUAUUACCCAGGCUGGAUUGUCCUACUGCUUUGUUAAGCUCACUUUUUCAGGAUGUGACAUUUUGGACUUUGUUUGGUUAUUUAAGAUGCUGCUUCCAAGCUCUUGUCUGCGCUUCGGUCCACCCCAAAACCCCACCGUGAUACACUUUGUCUCGGACCUUUGGAGUACCUGAGCUUCACAGACGCCACGUUAUCAUUCUACCGGACUAACUUUGCUGGCUGCCGCCAAGUGCCUCCUGCCUCACACCGAUUCCACAGAACCUGUCCACCCUCCACCGCUCACAAGCAACCCAGCUCCGGCACCGCACUACCACUCGCUGUUGCACACUCCAGGUUUGGAGCCUUCGUACUCACCGCACUGUGUACCCAUUCCGGUCUGCCUGAAUCCCUCUCCUCCUGGUGGAGAACUCACCCAGCCUAGCAAGGAAAUACUUAUUCAUUAUUUUGUUCUUAGUUCCACUCCUACUUACUGUUUUCUUCUUCUUUAUAGCCCCGCCAUGUACCAGUGCAACCAGUAUUGCUGUAUUCAAUAAACUUAUUAUAAACUU